rnacentral:lncRNA from 8 species
AUGAAUUUAACGGGGACACACGUAGACGGGGGCAAUCCAGGGAUUCAGCUGGCCGUUCUAGAUGCUCUCCUUCCCCAUCUCACUUCACACACGGUGGGUCAAGAGUACAGCUUGCUAGACAAGUCCAGAAAUCUUAAUCAGCUAACCAGUCAACUACUAAGGAAGGUUUAUUCAUUGGUUUUGAAUGUUGCAGAAUUAUCCAGGGCUUCUACUAGUCAGUCCCACCUCCAGAGCAGAGAGCACAGACGGUUUCCAUAUCCAUCCUGUUACUCUACCAGACAAGGUGAGAGCAGUUAUGUAGUAACUAAACAGCACACACAGACAACAUGCACACGACGGGGACGCAUUCGCUCAUCAGUGCUAGUUUCUUUACAAUGAGCAGAAAUUAUACACAUCAUGUUCAGUCUUGAUAACUGAAGAUUUAAACUAUCCUUAAAAUAUGUAUUGUAGUGUGUAGGUUUACAAAAAUCAAUUACUAUUUAUUUUUGCUGUUUACCUCUGGGUUGACACUGAGUUGUCUUUGAAUUUUGCAGAUUCAUCCAGGACUUCUAUUUGCCAGUCCCAACGGAGCCAAGAGCAUCUCAGCUCUCACCCUCCCAUUCCCUCCGCUCGACCAGAGCUGUUUCCCAUGAACAAUGCCAGUAAGUGGAUUGUUCCAUGAAAUGUGUGCCUUUUGAUUCUCUCUGAUAUUUUAUGUAUAAGUGAUGCACUAAUUCAAAAGGGACCUAUUUUGUGGAAUGACUCAAAAUGUACUACAAAAUUGAAACUUGUGUUAAAGUUAAACAUUGACUCCAUUAGAAUAUAGAAUAUUAUUGAAAUGUUGAACUAUGUAUUAUUGCAAGUAAAAUGUCACUUUUAUUUGCAAUCAACUUGUCUGUCAGGAUCCUCUUCCGUGUGACAACCCAUAUUUCCACAGUGUCAACAAAAUGUUCUCAUUUCAGAAGUGUGUCCAAUCUAAAUUGGUGGAGAUAUUGGAGGAAGUGAAACAUGUUGGGAGAUCAGAGCCCCAAGACUCUUUGAGUUCCAUGUCAAGAUGAUCGAGACGGAGCAAGACUUUGAGCAACAAGAGAAGCAGCUCCAAAGUGUGGAUGCAUAGAAUCUGAUGGUGAAAUUGACAUUUAUUUUGACAUUUCAUUUACACUGUAGAUUUAGUCAGCAUUUUUCACACUACCUAAAGUGAUACAAUUAGAUAAUUCCACUCUUACAAGCAAUGCCUGUAGAAUUUAUUAUUAUUAUUUUUAAUUAGUCAUACUGAGACAGAGGUUACUGCAUAACUUCCAGGGUUUCAAACAGUCUCUUGACACAGAUUGUAAGGUCAAGCAAAAUUGGUAGUAAGGACACAAAGAACUGUGCCCACAAGGUCAUGGACAGGUAUGUCAUAUCUUUAGAAUGUAUCCAAUAAGAAAGUAAUUUUAAAGGUAUCGUUAGUGAUACAAACUGUCUGCAACAAAGACAGUAAAUCCAAGAGCCUAAUCUCCUCAGCAGUUUGAAAGUGUUCAAUUCACAAAGAACAACCUAUGUGUGCUUGACUUUCAGGCUCUUUACCAAUGGCCUGAUGUCCUUGUUCAACUUCAACGGCCAUCACGCAAAGCAGGGACUAGGAAACACAACUGUGUACUCUGUUGUCAACGGUACCUACAAACAUGUCAUUAUUCUGUAGUAUAUUUUGUAUUAAUAACUGGGUGGUUUGAGCCCUGAAAGCUGAUUGGCUAACAGCCAUGGUAUAUUUAAGCAAUAAUACAUGAGAGCCCAUGUGUUAUGAUGACAUUUAUCAUGGCUGUGAGUGUCAUAGCCAUAAAAGCAAAGUCCUCUGGUUUUUGUGGUACUGUAACCACACAAUACAUGGUUACAGUCUGUAUCCAGGCACGCUGAGUUGCGUUGUGCAUGAGAAAAGCCUUCACUACACCCUCCCAUUGCUUAAAGGGUCACUAAGGUCACACAAUCAAAAUGACCUGCUCUGUCUGUUUUAAUAGGCUAGAUUCUUAUUUUGUCUUGUAAACCAAUUAUUCAUUUGAAUGGUGGUAAUUUGUGUGGUCCCUUUCUGAGAAGAAUGGUUUAGGAGCUUGGCAAUUUUGAAUUAGGUGAUCAUGUGACCUCAAUGGCCUUUUAACCUAUUGACUAGCAAGUUCUAAAAAUGUAUAAAGGUCUGCCCAACGUGACAUUUUCUCAAAUUCUGUUUUUAUUUAUUUUGCUAUGCUUUAGCCCUAAUAAAUGCUUUACCAUGUUUUUUCUUCAUUAGACUCUCUAGUAUGUCAUUAUGCUGGUUUUGUUCUGCUUUCUGGCCACUGCCUAUAGUCCUGCAUAAUCUAGUCCUUAUUAUUACUUCAUUUCAUCACAAAGCCUACUGGUCCUGCAUUUAAAUGCAGUCAAGCAUUCUCUUGAAUAAUUAGCCUACAGUAUACAAUGGCCUAAAUAAUAAUAAUAAUAAUCAGCUUUACUCAUUUUUUUUUCAUGAGCGCAAGUCAAAUGUCUUCCAUCAGACAUUGCCUUUAUCUCCUGAGCAACCAGUCGCUAAACAUUCCCCCAUUUCAAGUAAAAAAAAUUGACUUGCGAUCUCGCAUACUGACAAAUAUAUUAGGCUACAGUGUUCAAUUUACCAAUAUAUGUGAUUAUAAUAGUCUAUUAGGGAGGAGUGAAAGAGACAACUUUAGCCAUUCCCUCGUAACAGUUUAGCUUCUGUCCCUCUCCACGCCCCAGCCUGGGCUCGAACCAGGGACCUCUGCACACAUGACAACAGCCACCCACGACCCAUCGCUCCACAAAAGGCACAGCCCUUGCAGACCAAGGGGAACAACUACUUCAGGUCUCAGAGCGAGUGACGUCACCGAUUGGAACGUUGUUCGCGCGCGCCACCGCUAACUAGCUAGCCAUUUCACAUCGGUUACACUCUUUUCUACACUGCGUGCAAGUUUGAGCCCGGCCAUAAUCAACUAUCAGCCCCUGAGAAGGACAACUUUAACCAAACUUAUCUUGUAAAUUGCUUUUGUCUUUGACAGACACGGAAAAGCAAACACAUUUAUCCACUUCUAAAUUAUUCUGAAUAAAUGUAAUAAAUGAUCAUUAUUACUGCACAACACAAAAUAGCCACCAUUGGUUAGUGAUAAACCGGUGGUUUGAGCCCUGAAUGCUGAUUUAGGUGCCGUGGGGAACCUGUAAGAUGCUCCAUAUCUAUUAGUCUUUUCUAUAACGUACUGUGUUUAUUUUGGUGUUACAGCUGCAGUGAAGAAAUGGAACAGCAAGACCACUGACCAUGACGUUCAGAGAGCUGUGGCAGACCACCUCAAGCAUGCUCCUGGUAGAGCCUGAGGUGAUGGUUUCCACGUCACCACCACAUAGGGUCGUUGCUAACGCAGCGAAAUAUAUCUAUAAUUUUGAUGGAUAUAAUGAAUUAUAUUCAUUUGAACUUAACUGUAUUUUGUCUUAUCACUGUACCAGAUAGUAUUCUUUGACGGAAUGUUUUGUGCAAAUACUGGAGUAAUGUAAUAAGUAGUGUGAUUGUUACUUUUUUUUUUAAUUAGAAAUGUUUUUGGUUACUGCGUCCAUGUGUAUAGGCUACAAGUAGAUUUAAAUUAUGUUCUUUGCUAGUCGUUAAAACAACGACCUGAAAAAUACUUAUUUUCAACUUUCAACCAAAACGGGCCGUAGAUGGGCGUCUUUUCAACGACAUGAAAAAUACGUCUAUUCAACUGUCUCUUUCAACCAAAACCGAACGGGCAUAGUCGUCUUUUUCAAGACAGCUUGCUGGGUGGGCAGCUUGCUCCGAUUCUGAAUAAAUGUGUGUCUGUUUCAUUCUAGCUGGCAAAAUAAGUGAGCUAGUUUGUCACUGAUAUGGGCUAAAUAUCCUAAACCUAGACAGUGACAGCAGCAAGCUAACACCAGGGAGAGGAGAUAAUUUCAGGUUCUGUUUCAUCUGCUGCUGGCUUGAUAACGUUUUUCCACAUGCAAUUGAUUAAAUGAGAUUUGUAUUCUUUAAAGAUUGUAAUUGUGUUCAUAUCUGAUUAAUAUUUUAGAAAAAUUCUCACAGCCGUUUUCCACAGCAAAAUGUGAACUACAAUUUGGUGCGCACCAUUUUACUAUGUACAGUAGGCAGUAAGCUCACCAGGUGUCAUCAAAAUUACGAUCUUGUGUUAGUGGUUUAUAUAUGCGGGGAGCAUAAAUUGUACAAUUGUAAACGAAUAAAUAAUGGUUCAAGUUAGAAUCCAUGUAUAUUAGUUAAUAUACUGCACCAACUACAUAAAUAUAUGAUCGGAUCCAUUGUCUUCUAUUUGGACUUUAAAACGCAGACAGCGGGCGCCGCCAUUUUACCAGCUCGUCAUAUUUUUUUUAAAUACACAAAACCAAUAACAUAAAACGAACUCAGAAAUCUCAAAUAAAUUGAAUAUUUUUAAAUUACCUUGACGAAAUGGUGUACAUUAAGUCAGACGAACCCAAAAUCUCAAGCUAUUUGACUUGUAAAAUCGUUCUCGUCACGACACAAAUUUACCAUAAGAAACCUGGCAAUCCCUUGACGGAUUUGUAAUCUAUCAUGUUAUGACAUGUUCUUUUGAUUUUAGAUAUUUAAACGUGCUAUUACCUACCUAUAGUAAUGAAUAGAAGCGGAGACAAAAAGCAUCGUCUUCACAGCACAGAUUCUGAACAAUGGUGCGCGGCCAUAGAGAUAGAUAGAGGACUCAUCUUUGUAUCUGUGUCAUUAUUGCGUCUGUGACAGAAUGCGCAGCGGCAUUGAGGGGAUUCGAUUAAUCUGGCCUGGGCUCCCGGAUAGGCGUGUUUUGGGCGGGGUGAAAGUUCAUGGCAUUCGUUUUGUUUUUGGCCAGGUGCCACAUUCAAAGCACACAGCAAAGUCUGCUCCAAACAAAAGUGAUGUAAUUAGGCAUUUGGAGUAAUGAGUAAGAAUCUGUGUUUUCAAAUGAAAAAGUUAUUGGUUUUGAUAAAAAGCUUUAUCUGCUUUCCCAAUUAAACCUGGUUUAAAAAAUUUGAACAAAUAUUUUAUGGAAAAGAGAUGUUUCUGGAUGAUGCACCAUGCUGCCUUAUUGACAAAAUGACCGAAAGGCGCAGAUUACUGUUGCUAUUUGAGAAGGGCGCUAAAUCCCUUGCCACAUUUGCCGGUUCACCGUUUACAUCACAGGCCGUAGACCUGUGCCCUGUG